rnacentral:rRNA from 1 species
UACGGAGGGGGCUAGCGUUGUUCGGAAUUACUGGGCGUAAAGCGCACGUAGGCGGCGCAGCAAGUCAGGGGUGAAAUCCCGGGGCUCAACCCCGGAACUGCCUUUGAAACUGCAGUGCUAGAAUCUUGGAGAGGCGAGUGGAAUUCCGAGUGUAGAGGUGAAAUUCGUAGAUAUUCGGAAGAACACCAGUGGCGAAGGCGACUCGCUGGACAAGUAUUGACGCUGAGGUGCGAAAGCGUGGGGAGCAAACAGG